rnacentral:rRNA from 2 species
ACGGAGCACGCCGCGUGAGUGAUGAAGGCUUUCGGGUCGUAAACUCUGUUGUUAGGGAAGAACAAGUACGAGAGUAACUGCUUGUACCUUGACGGUACCUAACCAGAAAGCCACGGCUAACUACGUGCCAGCAGCCGCGGUAAUACGUAGGUGGCAAGCGUUAUCCGGAAUUAUUGGGCGUAAAGCGCGCGCAGGCGGUUUCUUAAGUCUGAUGUGAAAGCCCACGGCUCACCGUGGAGGGUCAUUGGAAACUGGGGAACUUGAGUGCAGAAGAGAAAAGCGGAAUUCCACGUGUAGCGGUGAAAUGCGUAGAGAUGUGGAGGAACACCAGUGGCGAAGGCGGCUUUUUGGUCUGUAACUGACGCUGAGGCGCGAAAGCGUGGGGAGCAAACAGGAUUAGAUACCCUGGUAGUCCACGCCGUAACGAUGAGUGCUAAGUGUUAGAGGGUUUCCGCCCUUUAGUGCUGCGGCUAACGCAUUAACACUCCGCCUGGGGAGUACGGUCGCAAGACUGAUACUCAAGGAAUUGACGGGGGCCCGCACAAGCGGUGGAGCAUGUGGUUUACUUCGAAGCACGCGAGAAACUUACCAGGUCUUGACAUCCUCUGACACUCUUGAGAUAGAGCGUUCCCCUUCGGGGGACAGAGUGACAGGUGCUGC